UUUUAUGAGAGUUUGAUCCUGGCUCAGGACGAACGCUGGCGGCGUGCCUAAUACAUGCAAGUCGAACGCAUUUUCUUCCACCGUAGCUUGCUACACCGGAAGAAAAUGAGUGGCGAACGGGUGAGUAACACGUGGGUAACCUGCCCAUCAGCGGGGGAUAACACUUGGAAACAGGUGCUAAUACCGCAUAAUUUCAUUUACCGCAUGGUAGAUGGAUGAAAGGCGCUUUUGCGUCACUGAUGGAUGGACCCGCGGUGCAUUAGCUAGUUGGUGGGGUAACGGCCUACCAAGGCUGCGAUGCAUAGCCGACCUG
rnacentral:rRNA from 1 species